CUAAUACAUAGGGCAGGAGAAUAGGAAAAGAAAAGAAGAGGAAAAGAAGGCUUUUCCCCAGGGUCCUCUCCAGGCCAGGUGCUGUGUACCUCUGCGGCAGCGGCAGCAAGGCUCCUUGUCACUGUAUCAGUGUGCAAUUAGAGAAACAAAAGUGGUCUCAACUGGGUCUGGAAUGGACAUUGGCUGGCCCCUUUGGAGAAAGUAAUUAUUUCCCAAGGCCACACAAGAUGGUGGGUGCACGAGUGGAAGGCCCGGAGGAAGCCUUGUCCCCUGCAGCUCUGGAUGGGAGAACGAUCGAGCUGCCCAGGGGCAGGUUUCCACCCAGCAUAAGGAUCCAAUUGGAUCCACACUGAAUUCAUCAUCUCAUGUCCUCGGUUAGACCCAGCCUGUAAGAGCUCCUCUGUCUUCCCUUGUCUUUCAUGACCUCGACACUGUUGAAGAAGAGCACUGGCCAGACACUUUGGAGAAUUCUUUCUCAUGAUUUGAUUGAGGGUAUGCAUUACUGGGGAAGGCACCACCUCAGUGAUGCACCUUCUCGGUGCAUUAGGUCAGGGGCGUAUGACAUCCACAUGUAUUCCUGGAGAUGUGCACCUUGAUCA